ACGCUCGACACCUACGGGAGGGAGCAGUGGGGAAUAUUGCACAAUGGGGGAAACCCUGAUGCAGCGACGCCGCGUGAGCGAAGAAGUAUCUCGGUAUGUAAAGCUCUAUCAGCAGGGAAGAAGAUGACGGUACCUGACUAAGAAGCACCGGCUAAAUACGUGCCAGCAGCCGNGGUAAUCUGAGGCGGGCUGGCAAGGC
rnacentral:rRNA from 1 species